rnacentral:rRNA from 1 species
CACGGGGGGAGCAAGCGUUGUUCGGAAUCACUGGGCGUAAAGGGCGUGUAGGCGGUUCGGUAAGUGGAAUGUGAAAUGCUCCGGCUCACCCGGAGUACUGCAUCCCAAACUGCCGAGCUUGAGUAUGGGAGAGGAUGAGGGAAUUCCUGGUGUAGCGGUGAAAUGCGUAGAUAUCGGGAGGAACACCAGUGGCGAAGGCGACUACCUGGCCUGUUCUUGACGCUGAGGCGCGAAAGCUAAGGGGAGCAAACGGGG